ensembl:snRNA U6 U6 spliceosomal RNA
AAAACCAAUGCUUGCUUUAAGAAAUCGAAAUGAUACAAAGAGGAUGAACACGGCUCCUGCACAGGGAUGUCACAAAUUUGUGAAAUGUUCCAUAAUUUA